rnacentral:lncRNA from 1 species
GCUAAUUGUAACUUUUAUGUGGUCAAACUUAUAACUCCUACAUUUUGAUUUUGCUUGGAAAGUACUUCCUUACUCUAAGAAUGUUUAAAAAUAUACUAAACAGAUUAUCUUUUCUUCUGGUUUUUGUCUAUCUUUUGUGCUUGCACUUUCAUCAGCAUUUAAUUUCUCAUUAAGGAGUUGCUAACCAGUUGUCUCAACAUAAUUUAUCAAAAGGUCCAUCCUUUCUUUUUUUGAUAAGAAAUCUGCCCCUCUUUUACAUACUAAAUUUUGAUGUUUAUUUCCAUUAUUUGUGGACUUUCCUCUACCAUGGCUAUUGCCUCAUCACAGGUAGUAGACAAAAGCAAAUUCAUUAUCAUGCUUUAUAAUAACUGGUAAGAUGAGUUCCUCUCAUAAUCUUUCACUUUAAUUUUUUUUGCUCAUUCUUGCAUGUUUAUUCUCUACACAAACUUUAGAAAGAACUUAUCCAAUGCCCUUUCUUAAAAAAAAGAAAAAAAACCCUGUUAGUAUUUUUAGUAAGCUUACAUUAGAUUUAUAGGUUCAUUUAGGGACAAUUCACAUUGUUCUAACGGUGAAACUUCUUAUCCAAGACAUCUACUCAAGUUUCUUAAAAAUGUACUUCAGCAGAAUUUCAAAGUUUUCCUCACAUAUGGAGUUGAUUUUUUAUUACAUUUAUUCUUUCAUCUCUUUGUUUGCAAUAUUAAUGAGUUAUGUUCUUAUAUUCAUUUUAUUUUCUAAUUUAUAGUUGUUUUAUUAAGAAAACUAUAUUUAUAUAUUUAUUUUGUUACCAACCUCCUUACUGGAUUUUAAAAAAUAUUUUUAUUAUUUUGUUUUGUUUUGGGUACUGAGGAUUGAAACCAGGGGCACUUAAUCACUGAGUCACAUUCCUAGCCCUUUUAAUUUUUAUUUUGAGACAGAGUCUCAUUGAGUUGUUUAGGGCCUACUUAGUUGCUGAGGCUGGCUUUGAACUUGCAAUCCUCCUGCCUCAGUCUUCUGAGUUGCUAGGAUUAAAGUCGUGUUUCACCAUGCUCUGCUAAUAUUUUAUUAUUAUUUUAGCUGAUCCUUUUGAACUUUCUAAGUAUAUCACAAAUAUGCUAAUAAUGAUAGUGCCUUUGGAAACCAUUGCUUAAAAUGUAAGACUCACUAAAUCAUCCCUCACCUGAUACCAAAUCCAUCUAGGCCCUAUAAUUUUUUCAAAAAGUUUUAGAAUCAGC